rnacentral:rRNA from 1 species
UACGGAGGGUGCAAGCGUUGUCCGGAAUCAUUGGGUGUAAAGGGCGCGUAGGCUGUUCAGUAAGUCGAGGGUUAAAUCUUUAAGCUUAACUUAAAAUCUGCCUUCGAUACUGCUAAACUAGAGCACAAGAGAGGAGAUCGGAAUUCCCGGUGUAACGGUGGAAUGUGUAGAUAUCGGGAAGAACACCAGUGGCGAAAGCGGUUCUCUGGCUUGAUGCUGACGCUGAGGCGCGAAAGCGUGGGGAGCAAACAGG